AACGAACGCUGGCGGCAGGCCUAACACAUGCAAGUCGAGCGAGAUCUUCGGAUCUAGCGGCGGACGGGUGAGUAACGCGUGGGAAUAUACCCUUUGGUGCGGAAUAGCCUCGGGAAACUGGGAGUAAUACCGCAUGUGCCCUUCGGGGGAAAGAUUUAUCGCCAAAGGAUUAACCCGCGUUGGAUUAGGUAGUUGGUGGGGUAAUGGCCUACCAAGCCUACGAUCCAUAGCUGGUUUGAGAGGAUGAUCAGCCACACUGGGACUGAGACACGGCCCAGACUCCUACGGGAGGCAGCAGUGGGGAAUCUUAGACAAUGGGGGAAACCCUGAUCUAGCCAUGCCGCGUGAGCGAUGAAGGCCUUAGGGUUGUAAAGCUCUUUCAGCUGGGAAGAUAAUGACGGUACCAGCAGAAGAAGCCCCGGCUAACUCCGUGCCAGCAGCCGCCGUAACAC
rnacentral:rRNA from 1 species